GAUGAAGAACGCAGCGAAAUGCGAUAAGUAAUGUGAAUUGCAGAAUUCAGUGAAUCAUCGAAUCUUUGAACGCACAUUGCGCCCCCUGGUAUUCCGGGGGGCAUGCCUGUUCGAGCGUCAUUUCACCACUCAAGCCUCGCUUGGUAUUGGGCAUCGCGGUCCGCCGCGCGCCUCAAAUCGACCGGCUGGGUCUUCUGUCCCCUAAGCGUUGUGGAAACUAUUCGCUAAAGGGUGUUCGGGAGGCUACGCCGUAAAACAACCCCAUUUCUAAGGUUGACCUCGGAUCAGGUAGGGAUACCCGCUGAACUUAAGCAUAUCAAAAGGGAGGA
rnacentral:misc_RNA from 1 species